rnacentral:rRNA from 1 species
GACAGAGGAUGCAAGCGUUAUCCGGAAUGAUUGGGCGUAAAGCGUCUGUAGGUGGCUUUUCAAGUCCGCCGUCAAAUCCCAGGGCUCAACCCUGGACAGGCGGUGGAAACUACCAAGCUGGAGUACGGUAGGGGCAGAGGGAAUUUCCGGUGGAGCGGUGAAAUGCAUUGAGAUCGGAAAGAACACCAACGGCGAAAGCAGCUCACAAAAACUAUAACUGACGCUGAGGCACGAAAGCGUGGGUAUCAAACAGG